GACAGAGGGUGCAAACGUUGUUCGGAAUUACUGGGCGUAAAGCGCGUGUAGGCGGCUCGGAAAGUCGGAUGUGAAAGCCCAGGGCUCAACCCUGGAAGUGCACUCGAAACUCCCGAGCUGGAGUCCCGGAGAGGAAGGCGGAAUUCUCGGUGUAGAGGUGAAAUUCGUAGAUAUCGAGAGGAACACCUGUGGCGAAGGCGGCCUUCUGGACGGUGACUGACGCUGAGGUGCGAAAGCGUGGGGAGCAAACAGG
rnacentral:rRNA from 1 species